ACGCUCGACACCUACGGUAGGCAGCAGUGGGGAAUAUUGCACAAUGGGGGAAACCCUGAUGCAGCGACGCCGCGUGAGUGAAGAAGUAUUUCGGUAUGUAAAGCUCUAUCAGCAGGGAAGAAGAUGACGGUACCUGAGUAAGAAGCCCCGGCUAACUACGUGCCAGCAGCCGCGGUAAUCUGAGCGGGCUGGCAAGGC
rnacentral:rRNA from 1 species